GAUGAACGCUAGCGACAGGCUUAACACAUGCAAGUCGAGGGGCAGCACGGGAGUAGCAAUACAACUGGUGGCGACCGGCGCACGGGUGAGCAACGCGUAUGCAACCUACCUAUCAGAGGGGAAUAACCCGGCGAAAGUCGGACUAAUACCGCAUAAAACAGGGGCACCGCAUGGUGAUAUUUGUUAAAGAAAUUCGCUGAUAGAUGGGCAUGCGUUCCAUUAGGUAGUUGGUGAGGUAACGGCUCACCAAGCCGACGAUGGAUAGGGGAACUGAGAGGUUGGUCCCCCACACUGGAAGUGAGACACGGACCAGACUCCUACGGGAGGCAGCAGUGAGGAAUAUUGGUCAAUGGGCGAGAGCCUGAACCAGCCAAGUCGCGUGAAGGAAGAAGGAUCUAUGGUUCGUAAACUUCUUUUGCAGGGGAAUAAAGUGCAGGACGUGUCCUGUUUUGUAUGUACCCUGAGAAUAAGGAUCGGCUAACUCCGUGCCAGCCGCCGCCGUAAAAC
rnacentral:rRNA from 1 species